UACGAAGGGGGCUAGCGUUGCUCGGAAUCACUGGGCGUAAAGGGUGCGUAGGCGGGUUUUUAAGUCAGAGGUGAAAUCCUGGAGCUCAACUCCAGAACUGCCUUUGAUACUGAAAGUCUUGAGUAUGGGAGAGGUGAGUGGAACUGCGAGUGUAGAGGUGAAAUUCGUAGAUAUUCGCAAGGACACCAGUGGCGAAGGCGGCUCACUGGCCCAUUACUGACGCUGAGGCACGAAAGCGUGGGGAGCAAACAGG
rnacentral:rRNA from 1 species